AUGCAAAAUUUUAACACGUUUCCCUGUCUAACCCGAGGGGAGCAUGCUCAUCGUUGGCUUUGUGUGUCUGUGGUGUCCGGUGAUAUUUUUUCUGCUUUAUGUGAUAUUGAACUAUUUAAUUCGCGGGAAAAAAUCCGUUUGCAUUGUUGUCCUGGGAGACAUUGGACGCAGUCCGCGGAUGCAAUAUCAUGCUACAUCCUUUGCAACAGAGGGUUUCAAUGUUGAUUUGGUUGGUUAUGGAGGAUCGGUUCCAUUUUCUACCGUAAGGAAUUCAGAAAAGAUAACACUGUAUGAAUUAAUACAGGCGCCUGCAUUUUUAAAGAAUGUCCCUCGUCUCUUGGGCUAUGUGUUAAAGGUCUUGUUCCAGAGCAUUACCCUUGGCUUAAAAUUAUUACUUCUACCAAAGUCUGGUGUGAUAUUUCUUCAGAAUCCUCCCUCCAUCCCCACUAUAGCAGUGUGUUGGAUUGUGUGUUUAUUACGAGGAAGUAAACUGUUUGUUGAUUGGCAUAACUAUGGAUAUUCUAUUCUAAGCCUUUCUUUGGGAAAUAAACAUCCGCUUGUCAAAUUUUCUAAAUGGUAUGAACACACAUUUGGAAGGAUGUCACAUUUAAAUAUCUGUGUUACUAAAGCAAUGAAGAAAGAUUUGCAAGAGAACUGGCAUAUCAGAGCAGAAACCCUGUAUGACAGACCAGCUGAUAUGUUUCAACAGACUUCACUUCCUGUUGCCCACAAACUCUUCACCAAACUCUCCCAACAGUAUGAUGUCUUCAGUAACAGAAAUAUCCCAAACAGUACCAUUUUUACUACACAAUCCAAGGAUGGGACAAUAGAAUGGCUGAGGGACAGACCGGCACUAGUCAUCAGCAGCACCAGCUGGACAGGUCAGGGGGACGGGGCUUCUGUAUUAUCUCAUAACAGGACUGUAUUAAGUACAUGUAGUAGGUGCUUAAGACCUCAAAACCAACUGGGAUACAUGUUACUGUACAAAUAUUAUGGAUAAGAACAAUGCAAUGCUGCUCAAAGAAGCCAUUUAAUACAUCUGCUUUGUUGCAUGUCAGUUAAUUUUUUUUUCAUUCUAUCUAAAAAUGAUGGUUGCUGAAACACAAAAAAGAAAGUUUAAUUAGGACUUGGCCUUUAAUGUAUUGCACUAUAUGAUUGUCUGUAGAUUGCUCCAUUUUCUACUGCUUUUUGGUGGGUCUUUGUUGUGAUAUUACAUAUAAUUUGAGAAAUAAAAGUGACUUACUUUUUUUUAUUAACAGAGGAUGAAGACUUUGGAAUUCUACUGAAAGCUCUAACAGGCAUGUCAUUUUAGUUCAUGGAGAUGCAAUAAAAUCAUGGAUUUGAUAGCAAUGUCACAUUUAGGUCCUACAUUCAUACCUAUAGUUAUAAACAAUGAAACCUUUUUAUUUAUAGAGUAUGAUGAAGCACAGAGAGAAGACAGCUCUCUCCCCAACCUUAUAUGCGUGAUAACAGGUAUUUGUUACAUGUAACAAUGAGUGGGUUUAUAUGUGUGAUAACAGGUAUUUGUUACAUGUAACAAUGAGUGGGUUUAUAUGUGUGAAAACAGGUAUUUGUUACAUGUAACAAUGAGUGAGUGAUAACAGGUAUUUGUUACAUGUAACAAUGAGUGGGUUUCAAUUUUGAAUACAGUGUAAUGUACCGGUAAAUGACAGAGUACAUCCAUAUUGAUUUUUGAUAUUCGUUCUUUUGAGAACCCUUUGAAAGGUUAUGCUUAUGUGACAGUUUUGACCCAUAGGUCUCUUGUAAUUCCAAACUUGACUUUCCUACUACAUGAAGAAAACUAAUAAACCAUGAAACCUGGAGAAUUGGAGAUAAAUAUCAUUACCAUACUUAACAUCAUUGAUAUUUUCUAUCUAAAGGAAAAGGGCCGCAAAAAGAAUUUUACAGAAAUGAGAUACAGAAUCGCCAGUGGAAAAAAGUGAAGUUCUGUUUACCUUGGCUGGAAUCGGAGGAUUAUCCCAAGUUGCUUGGAGCAGCCGACCUUGGAAUCUGCCUCCACGCCUCUUCAAGUGGCCUUGACCUUCCAAUGAAAGUAGUGGAUAUGUUUGGAUGUGGUUUGCCUGUCUGUGCCCUCAAAUUUAACUGCAUAUCAGAACUAGUUGAAGAUGGUAGUAAUGGAUUAGUGUUUCAAGAUGCCAAAGAACUUCUCCAACAACUAAAGAUUUUGAUGGCUGAUUUUAAAACAGAUAAGACAAAACUGAGACAAAUGAGACAGAAUUUAGAGAGAUUUCAAAAGAUGCGUUGGCAUGCAUCUUGGAAAAAUGUUGUCCUUAACAUUUUAGAACAGAAAAUAAAAUAUGACUAAACAU
rnacentral:misc_RNA from 1 species